rnacentral:sRNA from 1 species
UACUGGUCUGUCUUCGGAUGAUGUGAGU